CGCACAGCGAGUGACGUUGGCCGCGUUAGUGAAGUGAUUUGAUGCUUUUGUGGUUUAUAAAGUCUUUUUACAUACAAAUUAUAAUUCAAAAUGUGUUUUUUUUUCCUGUCAGAAAAGCGCAUGGAUACAUUUGUGAGAGAAAAACUCGUCGAGUGCAGUCUUAUUGAGGCGUCUAACGGUUGGAACAAACAUGGAAUUCCUUAACUGAGCAGAGUCCACAAAACCCCAUCCAAUUGUCUUGGCGAUUUAAAAAUGACAGCAGAUCUCUCAGGCAUUGAUCAUAAUCAAUGGACAGGUCACCGUAGCCACCAGAUCCAAUCGGUAUCCAGAUCAGAGGGUCACUGCAGUCACCCGGAUCCAGUACGUAUCCAGACCAGAUGGAGAUCAUCAUCUAGAAAGGACCUCUACUGCCCUGAAAGACAGCGGAGACCAGGACAACUAGAGCCCCAGAUACAGAUCCCCUGUAAAGACCUUGUCUCAGAGGAGCACCAGGACAAGACCACAGGAAACAGAUGAUUCUUCUGCACAAUCUGACUUUGCUGCAGUCUGGAAAUGAACUACUGGUUUCGUCUCGUCAGAGGAGAACUGGCCCCCAAUUGAGCCUGGUUUCUCCAAAGGAUUUUUCUCCAUUCUGUCACCGAUAGAGUUUUGGUUCCUUGUUUUUCUUUAGUUGGGGACAAUUAAUAUCAAGCGAUAUCAUCCACUUGAUUGCACAGAGGGACGAUAAAUCACUGAAUCAAUGACGAAUUGACUUUAACUGAAAACUGAGUGUUUACUUUUGUCCCUUUGCAUUAUUACACACUAUUUUCCUAUUUAAUACUGUAAAGCUGCUAUGAUGCAGUAUUUGAUCAAUAUGACAGGCUUAUUACUCAUAAUACAUGGAAAAUACAGCUACAAACUGACUUUGUUUUUCCAUUUGAAAUUUGGCAGUCACUAAACUGAAACCGUAAUUUUUGUUCAGUGUUUUUGAAACAGUGUUUUUGUUCAAGAUUUGCAAUUGUGUUUGGAUUGUCACAAUUUGUCACAUGUGCAAAACGCAAUUGAAAAUAUAAUUAGCAAUUCCUUUUGAAAAUUGUCCUUCCAUAGACAGGCUCUACAACGGAGUACACUGCUCUCAGGUGUAGAUCUUUGCUUCAGAGCUUAAGUGUUUGACAAUAGUUCACCCAAAAAUGAAAAUUGUCACUAAUUAUUCACCCUGGUCUGAAAGCUCUCGAAUAUCAACGAAAACAUCUUAACUUGUGUUCUGAAGAUGAACGAAGUGCUUACGGGUUUGUAACGACAUGAAGUUGAGUAAUAAAUGACAGAAUUUUCAUUUUUGGGUAAACUAUAUGUUGAACUACCCUAAGCAGUGCACAUCUACCUACGUAGGAGUCUUUAUAUACUUGAUAUAAAUUUAAGGACAUCUUUAAAUGAUUUUACAUUUAAAUUUAAAGAAUGUUAAUUGUCAAUGUCAUUUCACUGUGUAUUUAAAUAGCUAAAAAUCUCAAAAUGUAAUAGUUAAACAGCUAGACACAGGUCAUUCAGAAAUAAUUUUCUUAUUUAUUGCAACUGUAUUUCUGUGAUUUUUAUUUAUUUAUUUUGCAUUUGCUGGAAACAAAAAAAGGGAAAAUUCCAUGUUGUUUGUCAUUGGUAAAUAUUUUUGAAUGUCAGAUGGCAUUAAAAAUAUUUUUUAACAGUCUAAAUAACCUGUAUUCUUCAUUAUUUAUUAGUCCAUGAUUGCUUUGUUAAGCAAAAGUGAAAUUAUGAGAAUAACCCAGCAAGAAUAACCCAGAAUCAUAAAAAUGCAAACCCACAAAUGGUAAAAAUGACUCUAUCUUGGGUUUUCUCAAUAACCCAGCAUGCUGGGUUAAAAUGUGUAAACCAGCAUGCUGGGUUACUUUAACCCAGCAUGUGUUCUGUCCAAUAUUUACCCAGUGCUGGGUUGCCAAUUGGGUUAUUUUUAACCCAGCCAUUUUUAGAGU